UACGUAGGUGGCGAGCGUUGUCCGGAAUCACUGGGCGUAAAGGGCGCGUAGGCGGUGGAACAAGUCACAUGUGAAAUACCAGGGCUCAACCCUGGGGGGUCAUGUGAAACUGUUUUACUUGAGUGCAGUAGAGGGAAGCGGAAUUCCUGGUGUAGCGGUAAAAUGCGUAGAGAUCAGGAGGAACACCGGUGGCGAAGGCGGCUUUCUGGGCUGUAACUGACGCUGAGGCGCGAAAGCGUGGGGAGCAAACAGG
rnacentral:rRNA from 1 species